GCCCCUUUAGCUCAGCCGGUAGAGCGUUAGACUUUUAAUCUAACGGCCAAGGGUUCGAAUCCCUUAGGGGGCG
rfam:Steinernema glaseri strain NC unplaced genomic scaffold GLAS_336, whole genome shotgun sequence.